CAGGUUUUUUUUUUGUGUUCAGUUUUGUUUCAAAAUAAAAAAUAAUCACACAUCAUUGUUUAGAGAGACAAUCUACAACAGGAGAUACAAAAAAAAUAGUUGCCCAGGCAACAAGCACACACACAGGUUUCUGUUAGAACUAUACACAUUAUGGUUACAGAAGAUGCUCCUAUUCAGAUACACAAGGCUCGCCACUUCAAAAUGUACACAUGCCGCUGCCCACCGCAGUAGUCCUGGUUACGGACGGCGAGACAGGCGACGCCCGGCCUUUACCGGGGGACAUUAUGAUACAUCACUUUUACAGGACUAUUAUUAAAGGUACAAACAAAAAAAGCAGACCACGCUGCUGCCGUCUUUUGUACAACCCACGGUUUCACUGUACCCUGAGGAGAGCAGAGGGGUUCGAGGUAGACUCAGCCAUAUGACAUGGUAACACAGCGGGAGCUACUUCCUGCUUCCAGACAUCAGUAACAACACAAGUCAUAUAUUAUAUCCCGAGACCACCACUGACCGCUCUUCCCAAUGUGGGCGUCACGCCUCAAGAGAAGAACCAAUAGUGGUAGUCUUGGCAGAUCGUUGUUGAUGUCUACAAGCCGGGAAGUCGCCCCGGUGUGUUACCAUGUCAUAUCACUGAGUCAACCUUUAAACUCAUCGCCCCCCACCCCAUCCAUUACCCUUAGACAAGGGGAAAGCAUUCCUAUAAAAUAUCUAAAAAUACAAAAACACAAGCAGACUGCUAACAGUGUGUCCUGUGGUGGCGGUUACAACCCCCAAACUACACUGUAAACAUCUCGCGUGUGUUCUGUAGCGUGUGUUCUGUAGCGUGUGUUCUGUAGCGUGUGUUCUGUAGCGUGUGUUCUGUAGCGUGUGUUCUGUAAGGUGUGUUCUGUAGCGUGUGUUCUGUAGCGUGUGUUCUGUAGCGUGUGUUCUGUAGCGUGUGUUCUGUAGCGUGUGUUCUGUAGCGUGUGUUCUGUAGCGUGUGUUCUGUAGCGUGUGUUCUGUAGCGUGUGUUCUGUAGCGUGUGUUCUGUAGCGUGUGUUCUGUAGCGUGUGUUCUGUCUCGUGUGUUCUGUAGCGUGUGUUCUGUAGCGUGUGUUCUGUAAGGUGUGUUCUGUAGCGUGUGUUCUGUAGCGUGUGUUCUGUAAGGUGUGUUCUGUAGCGUGUGUUCUGUAGCGUGUGUUCUGUAAGGUGUGUUCUGUAGCGUGUGUUCUGUAAGGUGUGUUCUGUAGCGUGUGUUCUGUAACGUGUGUUCUGUAGCGUGUGUUCUGUAGCGUGUGUUCUGUAGCGUGUGUUCUGUAAGGUGUGUUCUGUAGCGUGUGUUCUGUAGCGUGUGUUCUGUAAGGUGUGUUCUGUAGCGUGUGUUCUGUAGCGUGUGUUCUGUAGCGUGUGUUCUGUAGCGUGUGUUCUGUAAGCGUGUGUUCUGUAGCGUGUGUUCUGUAGCGUGUGUUCUGUAGCGUGUGUUCUGUAGCGUGUGUUCUGUGUUCUGUAGCGUGUGUUCUGUAGCGUGUGUUCUGUAAGGUGUGUUCUGUAGCGUGUGUUCUGUAGCGUGUGUUCUGUAGCGUGUGUUCUGUAGCGUGUGUUCUGUAGCGUGUGUUCUGUAGCGUGUGUUCUGUAGCGUGUGUUCUGUAGCGUGUGUUCUGUAGCGUGUGUUCUGUAGCGUGUGUUCUGUAGCGUGUGUUCUGUAAGGUGUGUUCUGUAAGGUGUGUUCUGUAGCGUGUGUUCUGUAAGGUGUGUUCUGUAAGGUGUGUUCUGUAGCGUGUGUUCUGUAAGGUGUGUUCUGUAGCGUGUGUUCUGUAGCGUGUGUUCUGUAAGGUGUGUUCUGUAAGGUGUGUUCUGUAUAUUUGUGUUCUGUAGCGUGUGUUCUGUAAGGUGUGUUCUGUAGCGUGUGUUCUGUAGCGUGUGUUCUGUAGCGUGUGUUCUGUAGCGUGUGUUCUGUAGCGUGUGUGCUGUAAUGUUUUGACUGCUACAGAACAGGCGGAAACCCAGAGUCACUGUCAGCUGUUGACGCUUCAGUCAGAUGCCAUGUCUCACUCUCUGUAAUUUAUAUAGACUUGUGUAAAAAAUAAAAGAGUCUCUUCACUACUGACAUGUUGGUGUACCACGUCUCGUUGACUUCAGUGGUAACUGUGGCGUAAUGGACGUUUAGUAAACGGACAGGGAGCGUUUGCAGUGUAGUUCGGUGGAUGGGGUUGAGGUGGUGAGUUCUGUUGUUGAGGUGGUGAGUUCUGUUGUUGAGGUGGUGAGUUCUGUUGUUGAGGUGGUGAGUUCUGUUGUUGAGGUGGUGAGUUCUGUUGUUAAGGUGGUGAGUUCUGUUGAGGUGGGGGGUGCUUUGUACAAGUACUACGCAGUAUAGAAAGGAAUUUUCAAAACCAAAAUUUGAUAUUACAAUUUACAAUAUACAACAACUCAUAUGUCACAAACAAGGAGGUGGGAAUAUGCAUCGAAAUGCACAGAGUUAAGAGUUUUUUUUAAACGUUUUGUUUUUUUAUAUAUAGAUAUACAUAUAUAUAUACAUAUAUAUAUAUAUCGUCUGAUACCAAAAAGGGUGGUAAAUCACGUUUACAUUACAAGGGUUUACAAAUGUACAAUUACACAGUCAGAAAUGUGUUCACUACUAGGAGACAUUAUAGAUAGUCAACAUCAAAAAACAGAAAAACUAAAGUUUUUUAUAUUUAUAUAUAUGCAAAGUUCUACACCAAGUAUACACGCGCUCUAUAUAUAUAUAUAGAUAGAAGCAGGACUGGAAACGAACCUCCCAUGUUAAAUGACUUGCUGGUAAGCACAUGGCUUGUGUGUUUGUAUAUGGGACGAUGAUUUGGUGACGUACUCAGUCAAAUUAAAUUACGUUCCAUCCCAUACUAGCGGUACGACACAGAACUGUGAUUGCCACAGCAGUAGCAAAACAGUGAAAUGAUUCUAGUUUAUACAAAAGACGAAUGAAGAAAAACAAAAACAGUGAGAAGGAACGAAGGGCAGGGACGUAUCUCACCUCCUCCCUGCAGCAGGGUAGGGACGUAUCUCACCUCCUCCCUGCAGCAGGGUAGGGACGUAUCUCACCUCCUCCCUGCAGCAGGG
ensembl:lncRNA